rnacentral:rRNA from 1 species
GUCUAUGGCCAUGCUCCCCUGAACAAGCCGGAUCCCGUCUGAUCUCGGAAGCUAAACUAGAUCAGGUCUGGUUAGUACUUAGAUGGGAGACCACCUAGGAAGACCAGGUGCUGUAGGUG